rnacentral:rRNA from 1 species
CAGGGAAGAAGCGAAAGUGACGGUACCUGCAGAAGAAGCGCCGGCUAACUACGUGCCAGCAGCCGCGGUAAUACGUAGGGCGCAAGCGUUGUCCGGAAUUAUUGGGCGUAAAGAGCUCGUAGGCGGUUUGUCGCGUCUGCUGUGAAAGCCCGGGGCUCAACCCCGGGUCUGCAGUGGGUACGGGCAGACUAGAGUGCAGUAGGGGAGACUGGAAUUCCUGGUGUAGCGGUGAAAUGCGCAGAUAUCAGGAGGAACACCGAUGGCGAAGGCAGGUCUCUGGGCUGUAACUGACGCUGAGGAGCGAAAGCAUGGGGAGCGAACAGGAUUAGAUACCCUGGUAGUCCAUGCCGUAAACGUUGGGCACUAGGUGUGGGAGACAUUCCACGUUUUCCGCGCCGUAGCUAACGCAUUAAGUGCCCCGCCUGGGGAGUACGGCCGCAAGGCUAAAACUCAAAGGAAUUGACGGGGGCCCGCACAAGCGGCGGAGCAUGCGGAUUAAUUCGAUGCAACGCGAAGAACCUUACCAAGGCUUGACAUGGACCGGACCGCCGCAGAAAUGCGGUUUCCCUUCGGGGCUGGUUUACAGGUGGUGCAUGGUUGUCGUCAGCUCGUGUCGUGAGAUGUUGGGUUAAGUCCCGCAACGAGCGCAACCCUCGUUCUAUGUUGCCAGCGCGU